UACGGGGGGUGCGAGCGUUGUCCGGAAUCACUGGGCGUAAAGGGUGCGUAGGUGGCGCCGUAAGUCAGGUGUGAAAUUUCGGAGCUUAACUCCGAAACUGCAUUUGAUACUGCGGUGCUUGAGGACUGGAGAGGAGACUGGAAUUUACGGUGUAGCAGUGAAAUGCGUAGAGAUCGUAAGGAAGACCAGUGGCGAAGGCGGGUCUCUGGACAGUUCCUGACACUGAGGCACGAAGGCCAGGGGAGCAAACGGG
rnacentral:rRNA from 1 species